UCUCUGAUAGCUCAGUUGGUAAAGAAUCUGCCUGCAAUGCAGGAGACCCUGGUUCGAUUCCUGGGUUGGGAA
rnacentral:tRNA from 1 species